rnacentral:rRNA from 1 species
GAUAAACGCUGGCGGCGCACAUAAGACAUGCAAGUCGAACGGACUUAACCGAAAGUUUACUUUGGAGCGGUUAGUGGCGGACUGGUGAGUAACACGUAAGCAACCUGCCUAUCAGAGGGGAACAACAGUUAGAAACGACUGCUAAUACCGCAUAAGCCCACAGAACCGCAUGGUUCUGGGGGAAAAGGAGCAAUUCGCUUUGGGAUGGACUCGCGUCCGAUUAGCUGGAUGGUGAGGUAACGGCCCACCAUGGCAACGAUCGGUAGCCGGACUGAGAGGUUGAUCGGCCACAUUGGGACUGAGACACGGCCCAG